GCCGGUGUGCGAAAGCUUCGCUCCACUCCACUUCCUCAUCCUCCAUCAUCACCCUGUGGCAGAGACAGACUGGUUUGAUGCUGCAGAUGAAGUGAACUGUACGCAGCUCAGGACGUCCUCAGCUCACUGCUCCAUGAUGGUAUGUAAAUCAUAAAGUUGUGCUAUAAUAGGAACAUUCAGGAAUUAUGUUUCCCCUCCGCAAUGCAUAUUUGGGAGUAUUCUCCAGGCUGCCUGUCUAAUACUUAGCUUGUGCUGCCAUCUAUUGGCUUGUAGAUGUCAAGAUCACAUCAGGAAAAAAAAAAAAAUCAAUCAACUCAAGUUCAAAGCUGGAUUACUGCCUAGACAAAGAGGGCAAACGUGCCCAGGGACACUGAACGCCUCAGGUCUACUGUGAGUGAGUUUGCCAUGAUUAAAUUAAUUCUGUUCAGAAAUAUACAACACACUGAUACAUCAACUAAAAUGUUAAGUAGCUCAAGGUGCUUUAAACUAUAAUCUUGAGGCCCUGUCUUGUUCAUACACCAUACAUAGUAUUGCACAUCCAUCUUCUUAAAAGGUAAUCGGGUUCACGAUUUAUCUGUAUUCUUUACCCCCGUAGUGGUUAAAGACCAUGUUUAAAUGAUGAGGCAGGAUAUGUGAACGUGAAAGAAUCUUUAAUUCUUGGAUUAAGAACUCCUAACUUUCAAACAUUGUCAGAAUCUCUUAAUAUUGACCUACAACCCAAUGCAGUAAUGGCCAGAUUUGGUACUACAGGGCAGAAGAUAUUCUGCAAUAAGGAAAAGAUAUAAAAACAUCAUUGCUUUUACAACACUGCUUUGCACGCAAAAGAAUUUUAUUACAUUGGAAAUCCAAAAAUCCACCUAGUGCGUCUCUGUAUGAACUGCAUUAAACCACAGUUAGAGAAAAUAAAAUACUCUCAGGGGAUCCAGUGCUGACAUACUUGGCCCACUUAACAUCCCUCUAGUAUUUGCACAGUGGUGAUAUUCAUCCAUGUGAACUAUAUAUAUUUUACUAUUAUUAUCCUUUCUUACUCUCUGGAUGGCAUUUGUCAUACCAAAAAAAAAAAAAAAAUGAUGUGAGCAUUGGUCCAAAGUUUUAUUUUGUGAAUAUUGUACUAUCAGUGCUCUAUAAAGAUGAAAUUUAAAAGGAAAAAAA